CACACUUGGCUUCCCCUUGGUUCAGCAGCUCCCAGGCUUCUCCAGCCUAGAACUUUCCAUUGUACAGAAGCAUGGCAGUCUAGAUGAAAGCAGAGGGCUAUCUAAUAGCGCCGUUUCCAGCUUGGGUUUAAGCUUAUGUUUUCUUAUGCUGGAAUUCAGGUUCUAUAUUUUGGCAAGGACGGGUCAGAGAGGAUGUGCUCAAGUACAUUGUAUCAGGAGUAGCAGUUACCAACCUCUGCCAGGACUGGUGACUGGUGAUGUCUACACCGAGCCCUUGCUGGAGAAGGAGCCUGCAAGCCCUGCCCUCUCUUUUGGUGGGAGGGAGAUAUUUUGGGCCAAUUGUUCCGAUUCUCAAGAGGAUGUCACUGUUUAGAGGACCAGUCUCCACAAGGUGAGAACUGCUGAAGCCAUGGCCAGCCUGGAGACUUAAUCAGCUGAAUUGCUCAGAGUUUCUGGAACUCCCACGGACAAGGGCACACAAGUCGCUUGGCCUCUGCAUAGACCUCUGAGGGGUUGCUCAGCAGGCAACCUCCAUAAACACACCCUUGGGCUGAUGCCUCUCCAGACACACCCUGUGCUGAUCAGCUUCUGUCUACCCGAAAUACACACACUAGAGUUACACUGGAAGAGAAAGAGGGAAUGUUGGUGAGGCGUUGUCUGUUUGUGGGUAUAUCUGUGGGGCAUUUUCUUGGUUAAUGACUGAUGUGGGAAGGUCCUGGUUUGCAUAGGGUAGCUGAGCAAACUAGGGAAAAAAGAACCAGUAUACUCCAUGGUUCCUGCUGGAGCAGGCUUCCCUGGAUGGGCUGUAAGCUGUAAGCUGGAAUAAAUCCUAUCCCUCGCUUUUGGCGUUUUCAUCACAGGAACAGAAAAACAAACUGUAGCACAUUCCUAGGUUGAAGUCAUUUGGUGUGGGGAGGGUGUGGAGGUGGCGUGGGGUAGCUUCUUGUGGGCUGAUGGGAGGAGUCUGCGCCAUUUUUGUUUUCUCACUCUUGUAUCGACUAGUGAUAAGGUGGAUAACGUGUCUCCACUCGCCAAGAACACCACAAACAUUCAGUAGAAGUGAGCUAUUGCACCAGUCAAAACAAACACGCUUUCCUGGGAGUAGCGAACUCUAUAUAUCCAAGUGUGAUUUUUUUUCUUUCCUCUUUACCUCACUGUUUGUCACUGUUGGUGGCCUGGAGGAUCCAUAGAGGAUCCAUGGUCGAAACUGGCAGGUGGAUAUUGUUGGAGAAUUGCUGGCCUUCGUGAUUGAAGCAAAGAACCGUGUAGAAGCUAGCCCUGGCCAUAAACACUCUGUCAGCACUCACAAAUGUCUUCUCUCCUAAAAACCAUGAGCACAUGUUGUCAAGUAGUCCUACCAGGAAUCCAAGAGUACGGUGGUACCAUGUGCCCAAAGACACAGAGAUGGGACAUUUGGGGACCAGCAGGAGGCCACAGCUUUAUUUAUAAUUGUUAAAAUAAACACAUCCUUUGCCAGAGGACAUUAUCCUGCUCCUUCAGUGGUCCUCCUACCUCCAGUUCCUCCUCUUCUCCCCCCCCUCCCCUUUCUCUUCUUUGUCUGGUAACAAAACCUUAAUUUUGUUCAGGGUUUACUCAAUUGCCAGACCAGGGGAGGCAAGAUAAGCACCUUUUGUGUGGUCUUGCACAGGUCUGAGUGGUCAGGGUCCCUGCCCACUCUCUGCUGGUCUGGCUCUGAGAUAAACACAUGGAUUACAGGACUGUGGCAUGUGCAGAAGGCUCUUGAAGCUCCUGGGGGCUUAGUGCUGAUUUAUGACUGUCUCCACAAAGAGUUGGCAGAGGGGACUUUUCUGUCUUCUUAUAGAUACUAUUCAGUACAGAGACAACACCAGGAAUGAGAUCCAUCAUUCAUGCCACUGGCCUGAGGAUGACACUUAAAAAAGGAACCCACAGAGAAGCAGAGCCACCAGCCCAAGGCAAUGUUAACCACCUCCUCUGUGAUGACUAUUCUUGGUUGUCAACUUGACUACAUCUGGAAUCAACUAAAACCCAAUGGCUGGGCACAACACGGGGUCUUUUUUCUUAAGUAAAUACUUUUAAAUGGAAAGACCUACUUCUAAUCUGUAUCUCUGAGGUGGGAAGAGUCACCUUUAAUGGAAACCACACCUUGUGUUGGCUGUCUACAUAAAGAAAAUAAAGAAGGAAGCUUGCUCUCUUUGCCUGCUUUUUCAGGAUUCUUGUAUACACUGAAGACCCUGGACAUCCAACCUUUGUGAAAUGAACAACUACCGGAUUCUUCCAUUGGUAGACAGCCAUUGUUGGACUAGCUGGACCAUUCCUGCAGUUUAAUAAAGCUGCGUGUGUGUGUGUGUGUGUGUGUGUGUGUGUGUGUGUGUGUGUGUGUGUGUGUGAUGUAUAUUUCAUUCUACAAGUUCUGCUCCUCUAGAGAAGCCUGGCAAAUAUAACCCCCCAAGA